UCUUCAUUUCACAUACUCUCU
rnacentral:miRNA from 1 species